rnacentral:rRNA from 1 species
GAAUCGCUAGUAAUCGUGAAUCAGAAUGUCACGGUGAAUACGUUCCCGGGUCUUGUACACACCGCCCGUCACACCAUGGGAGUCAGCAACGCCCGAAGUCAGUGACCUAACCGAGAGGGAGGAGCUGCCGAAGGCGGGGCCGGUAACUGGGGUGAAGUCGUAACAAGGUAGC